GUUUGCUUCAGUUGCACGUAUACUAAAAUUGGAAUGAGACAGAAGAUUAGCAUGGCCCCUGUGCAAGGAUGACUUGCAAAUUUGUGAAGUGUUCCACAUUAUG